GAUGAACGCUGGCGGCGUGCCUAAUACAUGCAAGUCGAGCGAACGGACGAGAAGCUUGCUUCUCUGAUGUUAGCGGCGGACGGGUGAGUAAAACGUGGAUAACCUACCUAUAAGACUGGGAUAACUUCGGGAAACCGUAGCUAAUACCGGAUAAUAUUUUGAACCGCAUGGUUCAAAAGUGAAAGACGGUCUUGCUGUCACUUAUAGAUGGAUCCGCGCUGCAUUAUCUAGUUGGUAAGGUAACGGCUUACCAAGGCAACGAUGCAUAGCCGACCUGAGAGGGUGAUCGGCCACACUGGAACUGAGACACGGUCCAGACUCCUACGGGAGGCAGCAGUAGGGAAUCUUCCGCAAUGGGCGAAAGCCUGACGGAGCAACGCCGCGUGAGUGAUGAAGGUCUUCGGAUCGUAAAACUCUGUUAUUAGGGAAGAACAUAUGUGUAAGUAACUGUGCACAUCUUGACGGUACCUAAUCAGAAAGCCACGGCUAACUACGUG
rnacentral:rRNA from 1 species